CCUACGGGAGGCAGCAGUGAGGAAUAUUGGUCAAUGGACGAGAGUCUGAACCAGCCAAGUAGCGUGAAGGAUGACUGCCCUAUGGGUUGUAAACUUCUUGUAUAUGGGAAUAAAAUGUUCCACGUGGGGGAUUUUGUAUGUACCAUAUGAAUAAGGAUCGGCUAACUCCGUGCCAGCAGCCGCGGUAAUACGGAGGAUCCGAGCGUUAGCCGGAUUUAUGGGGUGUACAGGGAGCGUAGGUGGAGUGUUAAGUCAGUUGUGAAAGUUUGCGGCUCAACCGUAAAAUUUCAGUUGAAACUGUCAGUCUUGCGUACAGUAGCGGUGGGCGGACUUCGUGUUGUAGCGG
rnacentral:rRNA from 1 species